rnacentral:lncRNA from 1 species
UUUGUCACUUAUUCACCUUAUCUCAGUUAUGCCAUUUUGGCGUCCACAGUGACAGUCCCCUGGAAGCUGGGGUCAGCCCCCACCCACCCACCGUGACCAUCACCCACAGGGCGUGAGUGUGGGCCUUGCAGGGCCCAGCCGAUGGUUACAGGCUGCAGGCGGGACUAUGGGGCUCCUCCUGAGGCCUGGUGCCUUCCAGCCCCCUGCCCACCAGCUUGGGUACAGCUGCCUGCCUGCCAGAGGCCAAGCAUUCCUAAGCGUGGGCUGGGGGAGGCCCUGCCCCUCUGUAGCAGCAGAGCAGACAGGGCAGUGGGAGAACCAUGUGGGUAGGAGGGCAUCAGGUCUCAAGAGCCUCUCCCCUGCUCAGGACUGGGUCUAGACAAGGCCACGUGUGAUAGGGUGGUAAGCCCUGGGCCAUAUGGAGGAGCCUGGGGCCCAUCUUGGUUCUGCUGCUGAGUUGCUGGGUGGCUUUAGGCAAGUCCCUUCUUGUCCCUUGGUCACUCUGUUUCCUGGCUAGCACUGCCAGAGAGAGGGUGCUCAUCUCCAGGACCUAGGCCACCUGUCAGCACAAACAGAACUUAUUCCAGACAUAAACAUGAGUCUUCUUAUUUCAAACACUGGAGCAACUGAUCAACACCACCACAGCCCAUGCACCCCGAACCUGACUUCACUACCAACCUUGAGCCUGUGCUGUCCUCUCUCUGCUGACGACACUGGUGACGCAGAAAGGAAGUCGGUGGUGUCUGCUCACUUGCGUGCAGUCCUAAGCACAGUAAGAAAAUUCUGAACACAGCUGGGUGAUCUUCAGCCCAGAAGGUGUAGGGGCUUGUGAGCACUAAGUCAGUUUCUGUCCAUGUCUGAUAGCUACCACAAUGUCUCCCCUUGCUAGGGCAGCUGCGAGGAGACGUGUCCAGUGAUGACUGGCAGAAUCUGGACAAACGGACAUCACUGCAAGGGUCUGUCCACCUAGCUUGGCCAGGCUCAGCUUGGCAGAGCUGAUGACCCAAGUGGACUAAACACGGAGCUAGCAGAAACAGGCAGACUCUAAGCCCAACCAGAAGAGUCA